rnacentral:rRNA from 1 species
AUACGUAGGUGGCAAGCGUUGUCCGGAUUUACUGGGAGUAAAGGGCGCGUAGGAGGGUAAGCAAGUCAGAUGUGAAAUACCGGGGCUUAACUCCGGGGCUGCAUUUGAAACUGUUUAUCUUGAGUAUCGGAGAGGCAGGCGGAACUCCUGGUGGAGCGGUGAAAUGGGUUGAUAUUAGAAGGAACCCCGGGUGCGAAGGCGGCCUGCUGGGCGACAACUUACCCUGAAGCGCGAAAGCGUGGGGGACAAACCGGAUUAGAUACCCUGUUAAUCCACGCCGUAAACGAUGAAUACUAGGUGUGGAGGGACUGACCCCCUCCGUGCCGGAGUUAACACAAUAAGUAUUCCACCUGGGGAGUACGGCCGCAAGGUUGAAACUCAAAUGAAUUGACGGGG